CUCUUCAAAACAUUAGAAUAAUUCUUUUCUUUUCUACUCAUCUUCCUCCACUAUUUCUUCCCCCAAAUCAGCUUCUUAUCAAUGGAAUCUCAGAUCAAGACUUUCAGAUCAAAAUCGAAAUUGAAAAAUCUUCAAACUUCCAUCGAAAGUGAUUUUCCAUGAAGCUUGCGAGACAUACAAGUACCCAAACUAGGAAAAUAAUGAUCCGACUCAUUUUCAAAUGAUUAAUUAGACAAGGGGGAUGGUUUCUCCAUCGCAGGGAAAGAUCUGCAGGAGUCCAUUUGGAAGAUGGUGAUGGGUUGGGAGUUAUAAUGGUUAAGUGCAAUAUGUUUUGCAAGGUUGCUACAAAACCUUGGCCUGUGUAUGGUGAGAAAUACAGAAGUCCGUCGACGGAAGAACGAUGCUCCAUUGUCAGAGCCAAUUUUCCGACAGUCUUUGUCAGUUGAAAAUUGCUAGGAUGGCUUGAAGAAAAUUGCUAGGAUGGCUUGAAAAUUGCUUGGAUGCUCCAUUGUCAGAGCCAACAAUGAUGUUGACAAUUUUUUAAAUGUGUAUGAAAUAAAAAG
rnacentral:lncRNA from 1 species